UUAUGAUAGUCCCAACCUCUCAAGAGUCCUCUCCUUUUCCUAGAUUGAUUUUUUCCCAUGUUGCUGCAGGAUCCUCUCCUUUCCUCGAUCUGGCAGACCGUGUUGCUACAGGAUUCUUACCUUUCUCUCGAUCUGUCAGGUUGACGAGUCCUGCGGCUGGUGGCGCUCCAAUUCAUCGCCAGCAAGCGGAAGCUGGAGCCUCGCGCCUUGAGGUAAAAAUCGGUUGUCAAGAAUGUGAGGCAUGGGAUCUACAAUUGCUGAUUUCGGUUAGAUUGUCUUAUAUAAGGAUCCUGGAGCAUCAAUCAUGCUCUGCCUCACCACAUCAUACCUCUCACCAAUGAGGACGGCAUAAAAGAUAGAGCCAUUCUUGAGUCGGCACCUGUGUGCAUGCAGCGCUGCCACCUCAUGUAGUUGCUUCAAGACAAUAGCGUGUCCCGCCCCGAGUGGCACACAUGGCUGACGGCCGAGAUGGCACCGGUGUAGGAGCUUCUGUAGGAGGAGAAGUCAGGAGCUCGGACCAUCAGUGUGGCCUGAUGCCUCUCUUGGAUGUAGUAUGUAGGUAACAACAGCUAAACUCUUAUGAGGACAAAAUCUAUCCGAUGGAACUUCUUUAAGCUCAACAACCAGGUAUGCAAAGUGGCCCUUUUCCUCUGCCCAGCUCCAAUCUUGAAAUAUCCAUCUUCCUCUCGGAGCUGCACAUGAUUUUUAGGUAAUGCAUACUGAAAAAUAGCUGAAGGAACAAUAGCUGAUGCCGAUUGUAUAGCCUUUUCUUAUAAGACAAGUUAUAUGAAAAUCCGUAUUUGCCGCAAUCGAUUCUUAUAAAUUGUGAUGCUGCAAGUGAUACUUAUUAUUGUUGGAUGCAAUUUCUGAACAAUAUGAGCAGGCAAUGCCCUAGAAACAAGAUGUUGAAGAAAAUCAAUUGGCUGAAGAACUACUGAUCGGUAGUAGUGUUGGGUUAUCUGGGAAUAAUACAGUAGCAACCAUGGUGUCAAAGUUUC